rnacentral:rRNA from 1 species
CGCUAGCUACAGGCUUAACACAUGCAAGUCGAGGGGAAACGACAUCGAAAGCUUGCUUUUGAUGGGCGUCGACCGGCGCACGGGUGAGUAACGCGUAUCCAACCUGCCCACCACUUGGGGAUAACCUUGCGAAAGUAAGACUAAUACCCAAUGACGUCUCUAGAAGACAUCUGAAGGAGAUUAAAGAUUUAUCGGUGAUGGAUGGGGAUGCGUCUGAUUAGCUUGUUGGCGGGGUAACGGCCCACCAAGGCUACGAUCAGUAGGGGUUCUGAGAGGAAGGUCCCCCACAUUGGAACUGAGACACGGUCCAAACUCCUACGGGAGGCAGCAGUGAGGAAUAUUGGUCAAUGGACGAGAGUCUGAACCAGCCAAGUAGCGUGCAGGAUGACGGCCCUAUGGGUUGUAAACUGCUUUUAUAAGGGAAUAAAGUGAGUCUCGUGAGACUUUUUGCAUGUACCUUAUGAAUAAGGACCGGCUAAUUCCGUGCCAGCAGCCGCGGUAAUACGGAAGGUCCGGGCGUUAUCCGGAUUUAUUGGGUUUAAAGGGAGCGUAGGCCGGAGAUUAAGCGUGUUGUGAAAUGUAGACGCUCAACGUCUGCACUGCAGCGCGAACUGGUUUCCUUGAGUACGCACAAAGUGGGCGGAAUUCGUGGUGUAGCGGUGAAAUGCUUAGAUAUCACGAAGAACUCCGAUUGCGAAGGCAGCUCACUGGAGCGCAACUGACGCUGAAGCUCGAAAGUGCGGGUAUCGAACAGGAUUAGAUACCCUGGUAGUCCGCACGGUAAACGAUGGAUGCCCGCUGUUGGUCUGAAUAGGUCAGCGGCCAAGCGAAAGCAUUAAGCAUCCCACCUGGGGAGUACGCCGGCAACGGUGAAACUCAAAGGAAUUGA